CAGCUGGUGAUCAGCUGAUCACGGGGCCGGGUUUAAAAGAGAGACGCCACCCACCUGUUCGCCGCUCAGACAUCGUUCUCUUCAUGUCAGGAGCUCCGAAACCUUGCCUACGUCAGUCUCCGCCUGAUUCAGCAACUAUGCGGAGGUCCUGACGUGGAGGAGACUGGGGUGCCUUGGUGGUGGGAUCCUUUGAGUAUUACACACCUGCGCUUUUAGUUCACUAGUGCGAGUGUGUGACAGUGUGCUGCACUUGUGUAUUGUCUUUCCACGUGCGUCUCGUCCGCUGCAGCCGGCUGUUCGAUGAGAACAUUCAACUAAAUGUCUGAUCGAUAGGUGCUGGCAGCGCUCCCCGCUGCUGCUGCUGCCAGAAUACAGAGGAGGUGGAGAAGGUGGAGGCAGGGCUCAGACUCGUUAUGUGUGAGCACUUGUUUCUCUUUAUGUGCUUUCUGUAGGUGUUGCCUUUCUAUGUAAUGUCAGGUAUAAUCUCAUUUGAAAGAGAUACACCUGUAGGAAACCUGACCCAUGAGUUUCUAUUGUCAAUGUCCUCACAUGAACUGAAUGUGUUUUACUAUGUUACAGAAAUCACAGUGACAACAAAGGCAACCUAUUUAUUUACAGUCACCAUCUCUAGUUUGUGUUUUAUUCAUAUUCAGCUCUGUGUUUGCGUCUUUUUUCAGAAGGUAUGUGUUGAUAUAAAACAGGAAGUCCUCGCCUCAUCUGGAGAAGCUAUUCCGCUCAUACUGACAGCAGGGAACCACCUGCAGAGUUUCUGCAGGUGGGACUUUGUUCGUCUUCGGUCCCCUGUGGAAUCCCAACAUGCUGUUUUCCUCUGAACUUUUUUUUUCUUGUGUAGUACAACAAAAAAACACUCAACAACAUAUUUUCACAUUCAUCAUAUAGCACAGUAUAUGAAUGAAUGAUUCAUGAGUCUUUUAUCGUCAUGUUUAUGUGUUUGAAUCAUAUUGUGAAAAGUAAAACAUUUCUCACUCUUUUAAAUGCAUUACUUUGUGCUAAGUUGUAACACUGAGGCAGGUUUUGUUUUUUUAUACAUGUACUUUGGCCAAUUAUAAUACAAUAGGGUCAAAAUAUUUUCUGCACAGCAAAAGUAGAGAUAGUCUGUUUCAAAUGAAGAUGCAGCCGA